rnacentral:misc_RNA from 1 species
GAUGAAGAACGCAGCGAAAUGCGAUAAGUAGUGUGAAUUGCAGAAUUCAGUGAAUCAUCGAAUCUUUGAACGCACAUUGCGCCCUUUGGCAUUCCUUAGGGCAUGCCUGUUCGAGCGUCAUUUCAACCCUCAAGUCCCCUGUGGACUUGGUGUUGGGGAUCGGCGAGGCUGGUUUUCCAGCACAGCCGUCCCUUAAAUUAAUUGGCGGUCUCGCCGUGGCCCUCCUCUGCGCAGUAGUAAAACACUCGCAACAGGAGCCCGGCGCGGUCCACUGCCGUAAAACCCCCCAACUUUUUAUAGUUGACCUCGAAUCAGGUAGGACUACCCGCUGAACUUAAGCAUAUCAAUAAGCGGAGG